rnacentral:rRNA from 1 species
UACGUAGGGUGCGAGCGUUUGUCCGGAAUUAUUGGGCGUAAAGAGCUUGGUAGGGCUGGUCUGUCGGCGUACUGCUGUGAAAAUCCGGGGCUCAACCCCGGACUUGCAGUGGGUACGGGCAGACUAGAGUGUGGUAGGGGAGACUGGAAUUCCUGGUGAUAGCGGUGAAAUGCGCAGAUAGUCAGGAGGAACACCGAUGGCGAAGGCAGGUCUCGUGGGCC